CCAGUACUGGGUCGUGGAUUACUUGGUACCGAACUGCAAAUAAAGAAUACAAACGUUUUCUUUUUUUUUUUAUAAAAAUUUUAUUGAUUUUCACGGUCUUCAGGGUGUUUUAUAAAAAUAAAAAUACAAAAAAUAACCAAAACGGACCACUUCCGCCUGUACCAAUUUCCCUCACUUGUGUCGGUCCCAGUUUUUUCCCCUGUGCAUCUGUAAAUAAAGCUCGCAUUGAUUCUGCCUUAUGGCUCACAGCUGAUCAGAUUCCACAGGUAAAGGCCUAAAGGUCCAUGUAGUGUCUCAUAUGGAUUUCCAAAAGCAUUGUACAUGAAGAAGGCAGCGCACACAGAUGAGAAGAGGAUGAGCACAGCACAGAAGAUGAUGACGCUCACAUGCAGGCUAGCUGGGAUCAUCCACCAGGUCCAAAUACCAAACCAUGUAUAGCACUGAGGACCUGCACAACACAGAACAAAGCCUGAAGCACAUUCACAGCCAUAAUUGUGGAGAAGAGAACAAUGUUCCACACCACAACAUUACGAGGCUCCUCGCAAGCAGAGGCCCAUCUCUCUGGCAUAUACAGGGUCUUCUCAUACUUUCUCCUUACCUCAGUCUCUUCAAACUCGGAGCAGUCCCAUUUGUGGGCCAGUACAGAGCAGGUACGCUUCCAGUACUCCAGGAAGGUGACUGCCCAGAGGGACAUGAAGAUGCUAAAG